AACUUACAUGUGAACUUUGAAAUGAAUAUUGCAAUAUAUUUUUUUGGUUAAAUUUUGUAUUUUUCAUACGUCUAAGCAAAGUUUAGUUUAAAUUAAGAUGGAUCAAAUAGCCAAUUGGCUUGUUAGCAUAUAAGUACAUACUAUAAAGUAAAAGAAUAAUAGUAUCGAUUAAAAAAAAAAAGAUUACAAAUACCAAGAAAACAAGAUAUCCGCAUCCCAUCGACUCUUAAUGCGCACAAAAGACAAAUGUACCAAACAACUAAUCCUGAC
rnacentral:lncRNA from 1 species